CUUUUCUUGAGUUCCUUAACGUAUUACAAGUUGGUGCUUACACAUCUGUACAAGUUCAAAGAUGUAAAAGAACUUAUAAAACCCAAGCAGUGCCUCAAGCAUCAUUUCUAGAUUGAAAUCCGUGAUGGAGCAAAAUUGUUUUUUGCUUAUCUGGUUUCAUCGAAUUGGAGGUGUGCCAAAUGUGAAUUUCACAAUCUGGCAAGAUUCAUAUCAGUUAUGCAAUGUCAUCCUUUGUCAUGGCGAGCUGCACAUCAAUAUGUGCUGGUAGAUCGUUUUGAAGAUCUUGCUCCUCCAGAAAGAGUGCACUGGGACCAAAAAAUGCGACUGGAACAUAAUUUAUAUAGUUAUGCCCGAGGUUGUAAUAUUAAGAAAGGAACCAAGGUGCGUAUUGCUGGUGUUGGUGAUUUCUCACUAGCUGGUGUGACUAGCUUAGCCGAUCCUUGCCCUUAACCAUCUGCUGCCAAAAAAGGGAUUACAGGACAAGGAAAAACUCUUCUAUGCGCCUGUGUCUGGUCUUGGCGAUCUUCUCUAUGACAAGGAUGCGGUAUACACAGGGAUUCCCGAUCAGUCUGUUCAAUUUUCUAACAUUGAUGCAAAUGCAAAAGCUGCUUGAAAAGGCGAGACUGAAAGUCUGAACGGCAUGACAUAGGAAGGCACUGAAGACAAGAGAUCUCAUUGUUUCAGUUGGUUGGAGACGCUACCAGAUCACACCCAUUUAUGCCAUUGAAGACAGCAAUGGAAGGCAUCGAAUGCUUCGAUACUCUCCCGAUCACAUGCAUUGUCUCGCUAUGUUUUGGGGCCCUCUUGCACCUCCCAAUACCGGAGUUGUUGCUAUGCAGAGUAUGGCAAAUGGUUACGUCUGCUUGAACUUUAUUGUUAUUAUGGUUCGGGUAAAAAAAGGUUGGUGUGCAAAUUAGAAAUAUAUUCAUUUCCUUUGAUUUUGCUCUUGCAUGCUGCUAUUUGUAUCUAAAUCUGGAACAAU